rnacentral:rRNA from 1 species
UACGAAGGGUGCAAGCGUUAAUCGGAAUUACUGGGCGUAAAGCGUGCGUAGGCGGUUGGCUAAGUCAGAUGUGAAAGCCCUGGGCUCAACCUGGGAAUGGCAUUUGAAACUGGUCGGCUAGAGUGCGGUAGAGGAUGGCGGAAUUCCCGGUGUAGCGGUGAAAUGCGUAGAGAUCGGGAGGAACAUCCGUGGCGAAGGCGGCCUGCUGGGACGUGGCUGACGCUGAGACGCGAAAGCGUGGGGAGCGAACAGG